rnacentral:rRNA from 1 species
CCUACGGGCGGCAGCAGUGGGGAAUCUUGCACAAUGGGGGAAACCCUGAUGCAGCGACGCCGCGUGAGUGAAGAAGUAAUUCGUUACGUAAAGCUCUAUCAGCAGGGAAGAAACACUGACCUUACGGUCAGCCGACGGUACCUGAGUAAGAAGCCCCGGCUAACUACGUGCAAGCAGCCGCGGUAAUACGUAGGGGGCAAGCGUUAUCCGGAUUUACUGGGUGUAAAGGGAGCGUAGACGGUGCGCCAAGUCUGGAGUGAAAUGCCGCAGCUUAACUGCGGAACUGCAUAAGAAACUGGCGAACUAGAGUGCGGGAGAGGUGAGCGGAAUUCCAAGUGUAGCGGUGGAAUGCGUAGAUAUUAGGAAGAACACCAGUGGCGAAGGCGGCUUACUGGACCGUAACUGACGUUGAGGCUCGAAAGCGUGGGGAGCGAACAGGAUUAGAUACCCUUGUAGUC